rnacentral:lncRNA from 1 species
AAGUGGAUUGAUUCUUACCAUUUGAUUUUUCUUUUUUCUUCCAAAAUAAGCCAAAUGCUUGGUGAAGAAGUUGUACGAGGGCCAUGAGCCCUUGGGGGAUGCCGAGGCAGGGAAGGGGGGUGACAAGGCCACGAAGACCCAGAGAUCUAGCACAAGUGUGAGGGGUGAAGCCAUCUGCAUCUCUAGAAGCUUUCAGAUCCCUCAGCCCCACCUGCCUUAUGGCUCACUCUCUCCAGGGCCCCAAGCCCCUCUGUCCUCGGCAGAAGUGAGACUAUCUGGUCUCCAGCCCUCCACACUGCAAAGUGGACCCCAAGGAUGUGAAGCCAUUGCAGGUCACGUGUAUCCAAGUCCGCCUGUGGGUUUCUUCUCCCUCCGCCCGUCCUCCAACCCGGCUUUGCUGGCCCUGGAAUCUCUGGAAAAAUAAACUUGGGAGGUGAAACGUUGAGUCGAUGUCUUGGUGGGGUUUUCUUGUGUGUUUUCUGGCAGGCGUUUUGGGAGGCGGCAAAGGAAGAUUUUGGUGUCUCUUUUUUCUCCCCAUUCUUUCUCCUCUUUUGAUGUCAAACGAAGGAUGAGAACCCAGCUAUGGGUGCCCGAGAGCCAGGGGCGAGGCUGCUGGGGGGACGGUAGAGGGUGCUCUGCUGACUCUGGGGAUUCGGGGGGUUUUGGGGCGUUGGAGUCCGGCUGGCCUUGGGCCGGAAGAGGCUGCCUUGCUGGGUGCUGUUGCUGUUGGGGACAGUGACGUGGUCAGGUUCGCCGGAAUCACUCUCUGUGUAGCUGUAGGCCUGGGCCCGAGAGAUGCCUUUCUGUUGGCGCCGCCAAGAGUUGUAAUAUGUGGGGUCACUGAUGUAAUGGUUGACAAAGGAGUGGGCUUUCUGGGUGUUCGUGUCCACUUCGUACUCGCUGUCACUUCCCUAGGAGGAGAGAAUCGGGGUGUUAGUGAGGUCAGGACUCAAAGGCACAGAACAUUCUGGCUCCAUUCUCUGCUCUGCCUCUUUCAAGUGAGAGUAU